rnacentral:rRNA from 1 species
AUGCCCCAUGCAUAUGUUUGUCAGGAAGUACAUGAGAUUGCUCUUUUCACAGAGAAUCUGAAGAAAAUUACAAGGAGAAACGGACCAGAAUUGGGAGGCCACUUCUGCGUGCAAACAUGGCAACUGAACGGCAUGCUGGGAAGAUAUACACAAGAGCUAUCUUUGAGCAGUUUGGGCAUAUACUAUAUGAGUGCGGUGCAUACCAGGUGGAGGAGAUUGAGAAAGGAAAAUCAUAUGUCGCAAUACAUACUGAAGCGGAUCGCAGGGAGAAGUGGUGUCCUGGACUUUAUAUGCGUUACUGAAAUCCCUAAGAAGCAUAUAGUAAAACGAUGGGCACAAGAUCCACGUGAUAUCCUCCCGCCGCACCUGACACUGCUGGAGGGACCAUGCUCAAGAGAACCCAUUCAGUUUCAGGCAUUUUAA